rfam:Triticum aestivum genome assembly, contig: Triticum_aestivum_CS42_TGACv1_scaffold_578487_7BL
ACGCUACUCCCCCCGUUCGGAAUUACUUGUCUCGGAAAUGGAUGUAUCUAGAAACUCUAGAUACAUCCAUUUCCGAGACAAGUAAUUCCGAACGGGGGGAGUAGCGU